GUUUAUAUACCGAGCAGUGUGUCCUCCGGAUGGAUGUCUGUCCCUGAGGGGAGCAUGGGAGCGUUGAUGGCAUUCUUCCCCUCCUCAUGGAGAUCACUCACUGAGUCCCUUGUGUCGUUGCUGCCGGCACUUCACACCAAGUUAAACGACGACAACGAAUUUGUGGAAGCAAAGAUACUGUCACCCGCUGGUCCGGAGUCUGUGGUCCAGUUACAGGAGACGCCGAGGGCUGUGCGUUUGUGUUGUGUGUGUGUGUGUGUGUGUGUUCGGCACAGGAAAGUCCACACUGGACAUAAACGCACAAAAUCCUCUCAACACCGGUAACCUGUGGGCGGCUUGACAGUGGACAACCUGCAGGCCUGCCACGCCCCUCCAGCCGCUGAUGAGCAAAGCUGCGGCGCAUCAGGCGAUCAGCAUCACCUCCUCCUUGUGAUCCACAUUAGCUGUGUCUCAAAGUCGCAUCCUUGCCGC